rnacentral:rRNA from 1 species
GAGUUGCUAGUAAUCGCAGAUCAGAAUGCUGCGGUGAAUGCGUUCCCGGGUCUUGUACACACCGCCCGUCACACCAUGGAAGUUGGGGGCGCCCGAAGUCGGCCAGGAAAUAGGCUGCCUAAGGUGAAACCAAUGACUGGGGUGAAGUCGUAACAAGGUAAC